GAUGAACGCUGGCGGCGUGCCUAACACAUGCAAGUCGAGCGGACAGAUGAGGCUUUUGCCCGUCUUACGUUAGCGGCGGACGGGUGAGUAACACGAGUAUACCCUACCUAUAAGACUGAGAUCACUUCGGGAAAGCGGAUACAACACAGGAUAAGAUAUUGAACCGCAGGGUUCAUUGGACAAAUACGGUUUUGCUGUCCCUAAUAGAGGGUUCCGCGCUGGAUUAGCUAGUUGGUACGGUAACGGCCUACCAAGGCGACGAUGCGUAGCCGACCUGAGAGGGUGAUCGGCCACACUGGAACUGAGACACGGUCCAGACUCCUACGGGAGGCAGCAGUGGGGAAUAUUCGGCAAAGGGCGAAAGCCUGACGGAGCAAUGCCGCGUGUGUGAUGAAGGUCUUCGGAUCGUAAAGCUCUGUUAUUAGGGAGGAACAGCUGUGUGCGUAUACAUGCCCGUCUUGACGGUACCUAAUCAAAAAGCCCCGGCUAACUACGUG
rnacentral:rRNA from 1 species